rnacentral:rRNA from 1 species
GAGUUUGAUCGUGGCUCAGAUUGAACGCUGGCGGCAGGCCUAACACAUGCAAGUCGAGCGGAUGAAGAGAGCUUGCUCUCUGAUUCAGCGGCGGACGGGUGAGUAAUGCCUAGGAAUCUGCCUGGUAGUGGGGGACAACGUUUCGAAAGGAACGCUAAUACCGCAUACGUCCUACGGGAGAAAGCAGGGGACCUUCGGGCCUUGCGCUAUCAGAUGAGCCUAGGUCGGAUUAGCUAGUAGGUGAGGUAAUGGCUCACCUAGGCGACGAUCCGUAACUGGUCUGAGAGGAUGAUCAGUCACACUGGAACUGAGACACGGUCCAGACUCCUACGGGAGGCAGCAGUGGGGAAUAUUGGACAAUGGGCGAAAGCCUGAUCCAGCCAUGCCGCGUGUGUGAAGAAGGUCUUCGGAUUGUAAAGCACUUUAAGUUGGGAGGAAGGACAGUAAGUUAAUACCUUGCUGUUUGACGUUACCAACAGAAUAAAGCACCGGCUAACUUCGUGCCA